rnacentral:lncRNA from 1 species
GGCUCCAUGCACUGGGAGCCUGAUGUGGGAUUCGAUCCCGGGUCUCCAGGAUCGCGCCCUGGGCCAAAGGCAGGCGCCAAACUGCUGCGCCACCCAGGGAUCCCUAAUAAGUACAGUUUAUUAAUUUCCUAAGAAUUUCUGUAUUGGAGAGGUUAAAUAAAUCAGAACAUAUGUAAACUUCAAUUUUAAAUUACUUAGUUUAGUACAUAAUAAUAAAUCUUCACAUAGCAAACAUCUAUUGAGUACAUAGAAUCAGGGUGAUACUAAAUGCCAAGAAUAAAAGAUGAAUAAGACACUGACAAUUCUAAACACAAACUCUACAUUUACAAUUUAGUCAGAGAAAGGCACAUAACUGUAGGGCUCUGUAUUAGUUUUCUGUUGCUGUUUAAAAAAAUAGCACAAAUAUAGCAGCUUAAAAUAACAUACAUUUAUUUUCAUGCAGUUUCCUUGGGUCAGGAAUCUUGGCAUAGUUUAGCUAAUGCCUGCUCUGGGUCCCCUAAGGCUGCAAUCAAAUUAUCUACUGGGGCUGAAGUCUCUGAGGCUCAGCAAUGUCUUCUAAAUUCAUGUGAAUGUUAGCAGAAUUAGGUUUCUUUUUUUUUCAGCUGUAGAACUCAUGGUGGCUUGCUUCUUCAAAGCCAGCAGAAAGAAAGGGUUGUAGGUUAAGAUGGGGAAGGACUCUAUGCUUGCCUCAUCUCUUGAAUACAGCUAGAUAAAUAAAUACCAAAUCAUUCUGACCAGCCAGGAAAUCAAUCUGAGGACUAAGAAAACAAACUGCAAAACUAAAGGGAGAAGAGAGGCUACAUUGUGGAAGGUAGGAGGUGCAGAGACAUGAUGUGAGGAGAAAAAAUUAUGAGUGCUGCAGAUGAGAAGGAACCCUCAUCAUGGAGAGAGGAGAGAAAGUGAGGGAAAGAGCAGAACAUAUCUUUGGCACAAGAAAAACACUUCCCCAAAACUAGUGACUGGGAAAAUGAGAGGGGUUGACUAUGGUGAGUGUUUACAAGCAGAAAAGCUCAAAAACAAGUUUUAGAAGUCCAUGCCAUGGCCAGUGUAGAGCCCAGUGGGUAAAGUAUGUAUGGAGGAGGGCAGAUGUAUGGAGCAGGGAAGAACCUCAGAAAUGGACAGCAUGGUCUGAGGAUGUUCUCUGCUGUACUGAGAGACAGUUCUACUUCUUGGGGUGCAUUUUGGAGAGAUGAUACUGCCUGUCAAGGUACAAAAGAGCUAUUAGAUGACAUUUCACUGUCCUGUUCCUUAUCAUAGGGGCAGAGGCACCCGUUGAAGGCAGCUGACCUGGAUGCUGGCAUUUUCCUGUGUUUUACUCUAAAUUCCAAGCCCUUGUGCAUUUGUGUGACUAUCCUUAUGGGACAAGCUGGCACCAAACCUAGAGCAGCAAGACCCUCUGCUAGAGGUUCAGCAUUGGAUCCACACCACAACAGGUCCCUAAAAUUUGGAGUUUUAAAACUCAAGUAAUGUACCUGAAAUAAAACAGAUGCACUAUGCUACCAGAUGGAAAGAGGGCCAGGACACAGGGUGAAGGCAUGGAUCUGAGGGAUCCUUGGGACACAUGAGGGGAGAUUGCACACUCUUCUUUGAGGGCUUCCUGAACAGCAAUGAAUGUCUUUUACCCUGGGAUGAGGGAGCAAGAUGGUGCCAUUUUUCUUCCCUCUAAUCAGCAUAGACACACUUAAAUGAGCAGCACAUUGCAUACAGUGGAGGCUUGAGCCAUUUACACCAAGCAAGUAUGCUUGAGAGCCAGAGCAGCAGUGGGCCCCUCCCCAAGAAGAUCAGCGUGACCUCCCUCACAUACACCAAGUCUACUGACAAUAGAAUUCUAACAAGGUCCAGCUCUAGUGGAAAUAGGAUAAGGCUUAUUUUAGCAAGUGGACCAGAGCACAACUAUUUAAAAUGCGCCAAACAAUAGAUAAGGUCCAAACACUCCUCAUGGUAGGCAGGGAGAAAUGCUUCAAAGGAAUGAUCUGAGGGAAAGAUCAGCCAAAAUACAACAGACAGCAGAGUGCACAAGGCACACACCAGAAACACUUCUUGAAGCACCAGGCCCUGGAUAGUAUAUAAUCUAUUUUUCAUAAAGCCAUUGUUCUCAGGAGCAGGAAACCAAAUAGUCUUCCUAGCAUAAAGAAGACAGAGAUACAGACAAAGUGCAAGACAGAGGAAUUCAUCCCAAAAGAAAUAACAAGAAAGGUGGGACACCUGGGUGGCUCAGUGGUUGAGCAUCUGCCUUCGGCUUAGGGGGUGAUCCUGGGGUCCUGGUAUCAAGUCCUGCUUCUCCCUCUGCCUAUGUUUCUAUAUCUCUGUGUUUGUCUCUCAAGAAUAAAACCUUUUAAAAAAGAAAUAAAAAGGAAAGUUACAACCAGAUAUCUAAUUGAAAUAGAUAUAACAUGCCUGAUUUAGAAUUUAAAGUAAUAAUGAUAAGGAUAUUGACUGGGCUUGAGAAAAGCAUAGAAGACACUAUGGAGACCUUACCAAGGACAUAAAAAAAUCUAAAAACUAGUCAAGCUAAAAGAAAAAUUUCUAUAACCAAGAUAUGAAAUAGACUGAAUGCAAUGAUCACAAGGAUUGAAGAAGUAGAGGAAUGAAUAAGUGACAAAGAAGAUAAAAUUAGGGGAAAAAUAAAGUUGAAAAAA